UUGACCUCUUUUCUCAACUCUCCAAUUCAUAAAACAUCGACUCAGGAGCACCCUAUCCUACGAUCUCUUGGAAGCAUUUAUUCUGAUGGCAACUGAAAAGGAAAUCCUUAUGGUCCUGGAUACAGAUGAUGUCAUUGACAGGGUGACAGAGAAGAACUGCUGUGACACCUGCUGACAAAAGGGUAGGGAGGGCAGACAGACACAGACAGACAGACAGAGGAGAACAAGAAGAGACAGACAGACAGACAGACAGCAGAGGAGAACAAGAAGAGACAGACAGGCUGACAGACUGACGACAAAGUUACAGACAGAUUGACAGAUCAGAACAAGACAACUGAGGAGAAUCACAGACAGAAAGGCUGACAGACUGUGACAGAUCAGAACAAGGAGAAUCACAGACAGACAGACAACUGAGGAGAAUCACAGACAGGCUGACAGACUGUGACAGAUCAGAACUAGGUAAAUCACAGACAGAGGGACAGUGACAGCAGAGAUGCAGAGACAGACAGCGCAACAGGGAUAAAACAGACUCGGAGGCCCAGUUAUAGUGAUGAGUUGUAUCUCCAGACUCCAGUGGUGUUUUAACAUGUAUUUGUUUUAAACAUGAGCUGGUUAAAAAAGGAGGAAGACCAUGUUUCUUCAGUCACUGGUACAGUAAAGGUUGGGAAUCUCUGUACUAUAGUGUACUACUGAUGUUAUAUGCUGCAGGUUAGGAGAGUUAGGUUAAGGUUAGGAAAGGCGUUGGCGGAAAUGCUCUCCUAACCUGCAACAAUAAUACCUUCCUGGUCGUAUCUGUAUCAAGUGUCAAAGAUGGCAACUUUCUCUAAUAACUACAUGACUAAUUCUGUUUCAUACUACUCAAAGAAGAUAACUAGCUUAUUCAUUUUUUCUUCAGUGAUUCAAUUCAGUAAGAUAUCAUCAUUUACUAAUUGAAAAAUUAUAUUUACAUAUACUAAAACACAUGAAUUCAACAGGUCAGUUCAUCUCGAUACUUCAAAACUCCUAGUAACGUCUCAAAUCCAGUGUGUGGGUGCUCCAGUGAGUUGGAGAGGAUUGAGGAACAAUGGCACCGUUUGAAACCUUGAUAUGGACUAUAACUAUUAUAUUUGUGCUUGAAUGCAUCAGAUGCUGUAUUGCAUGUGGUAGAGCUGAGUACAGAAUAGGGGAUGAAUGUUGUCCCAUGUGUUCACCAGGAAAUCAUGUACAUAAGCAUUGUACUGAAUUCACCAGUACCAGCUGUGUGCCCUGUGUUGAUUCUACAUUCCUUGAUGAGCCCAAUGGUCUCAUAAAAUGCAAAGUGUGUAUCAACUGUGAUCCAGGUUUGGCUUUGAAGGUAAAGCAGCCAUGUACACCUUCAUCAGACACUGUCUGUGAGACACUGGAGGGGUUCUACUGUCUAGACCCAACUAAGGAUGGUUGUAGAGCAGCCCAGAGACACAGCAGCUGUAAACCUGGUCAAUACAUCAGCCACACAGGAACAACGUCUACAGAUACUGUGUGUGCUGACUGCACUGGUGAUACUUAUUCAGAUGGAUCAUUACCAUCCUGCCAGCCACACACACAGUGUAAAUCCUUAGGUCUUCAAGAACUAAGACCAGGAACUCAUUUGUCCAAUUCUGAAUGUGGACCACAAUCCUCACGAAUAGAACCUGGAAUCAUCAUUGGUGUUGUUGUGGCAUCAGUCCUAAUAGCAAUAAUAAUAAUAAUAAUAAGAUUUGUAAUUCUAAGGAAGGAAAGAAGUCCAACAACAGUGACUUUUUCUCCAGUGACAGUAAAUGCUGUAGAGGCAUCAUCAGAUUUAGAGGAAACACCAAGCAAUGUAGUACAAUGAAACAGAAGAAAGUACAGCAUCUUGCAGGUGUUAGUUUUGUAAAUGAUUCAAGCUCUGACCGCACUCAUCAUUACAAAUGCUACCUGAGGAAUGGCAGACCAAGGAGCUGCUCUCACUUAUGACUCCACUGUCUGAUGAAGAAACAAAGCCGCUUGAUGACAUUGGAUCCUCCUCAAGAGGUCAAAGGGCAGACAGUAACCUCCCAGGCAGUAACAUCCCAGUCUGCUUCAGUGGUCCAGAAAUCAGGAGCAAACCCAGAAACAGAUGGAUAGUGAUGAUUCGCUCACCCCCUGCCAUGUCAGCUGACCAGGAAUGAGGCAAGCCGCCUCGUUACCCCUGAGACUGUCUGGAGGCCUUCCUCUCCUCUGAGGACCCAACGAGGGUGGAGCACAGUGAGACACUUCAACAGCCAGAGAGCUUAUACAUAUUUGGUGGCCUGAUUGCAUCCAGACUUUGUCAAAUUCUGAACACAAUGCCCAUCCUGGCAGAUCUGAACCUAAUGCGAGCACAAUGGGACUUUCGUGAAUCCAGACCUAACGCAGCUUGGAGUGAUCGGAUGACAGGAGUCACCUUUAAGUGCCUUCAAAGUAAUAGAUAUGUAAGAUGCUACAUAUCUAUUACAUUGAGUGUUGUAUAUACAUAACAUGACUAAAUAUGUUUAUUUCUGUGUUGCACUGGCAGUCAAGAAAUGGAACAGCAAGGCCACAGAACAUGACAUACAGAGCUGUGGGAGACCACCUGAAGCGUUCCCCUGGUAGAGCCAGAGGAUGGUGUUUACCACACCAACACCAAACACAUUCAACAGGCUUGAAAAGUGGGAUUGAUCUGUUUGAUCCAUUUUAUUUGUUUCAGUUUUCAUUAGUUGAAUCCUUUGACUUAUUAAUGAUAAAAAAUAAAAAUAAAUGUUUUUAACAAAAAUGCACUGGAUUGGUUCAAAGGUGAUACUAAACAUCCAUCAUUUUCACACAGAGGAAGAUAUGCUAAAUUUAUACCGUUUUUGAUUCUAAGAUGGACCAAAAUAUAUGUUCCUUUUGCACAUUUCUGUUCAUUAGUUUUGCAAGAAUGUUGAUUGGUCGGUCAUUGGGUUGAUUAGUAUAGCAAUAUGUUGAUGCCAUUGAUUAAAAGAGUAAGAAUAUGAUGCAAUAUUCGACACUUGUUUUACUCCAUUGUUUGCAAACAAUAUAAUUGUAAAAAAAAAAA